rnacentral:rRNA from 1 species
GGACUACUGGGGUAUCUAAUCCUGUUUGCUCCCCACGCUUUCGCACUUGAGCGUCAGUUAUAAGCCAAGAAGCCGCCUUCGCCUCCGGUGUUCCUCUCGAGAUCUACGCAUUUUACCGCUACUCCGAGAAUUCCACUUCUCUCUCUUAUACUCUAGUCUUCCAGUUUCACCUGCAUGUUCCCGGUUAAGCCGGGAGAUUUAACAAAUGACUUAAAAGACCGCCUACGCGCUCUUUACGCCCAGUAACUCCGAAUAACGCUUGCACCCUUCGUAUUACCGCGGCUGCUGGCAC